GCAGCAUUGCAUGAUUCUGCGUUCAUGCAAUCAAAUUGUGAUUAGGUCUCACUCCUUCCGCACAAAUCCUGUAUCCAAGAGUGGAUUAUUCUUUUCGUUACAAUUGGAGUUUCCUGGAAGUAAGAUUUAGCUGAGACGAAAGAGAGCUCACACACACGAUUGUCUCAGAGGAUUAAACAUUUUAGCGUCGGAAGUGGUGCCAUGGCGGGGGACGAAGCAGGCUCAUCAGCCGUCGUUGUGGACGAUAACGGACGUUUGCGAGUAUUGGACCUGGAGACUAAUUCUCAUAGCCGCUUGGUGGCGAAAUCGUGCGAUGUGUUUCAGUGCAAGCUUCAGGACUUUCAGAACGUUUUCUUGCAUGUGCGAAUGAAGUAGUUAGUGAAGCAGUUACUCGACCAGGCAAACGAGAAAGCGCAGCAAAUAGAAGAUGCGAAGCUGUCAGCGGUUGGUAUGCGUAACAUGGUGUCUGCAGAGAUUGAAACAAGGCCAGAAAAGCUACGUGACCAGGCAAGAUUGAUAGCUGACAAACAGGAGCAGCUCGAGAGGCUUAAUGCAGAAUACGAAUCAUUGCUGACGGUCAAGCAAGAACAAGAGGCUCUCAUCGCCCGUCUGUCGGGUUCAAGUUUGCAAGUUUGAUUGCGGUAUCUUGCAGCAGGGGCAUGUAACCACAUUGUAAACCAAAGCCUAAAAAAUGUUACAACUAACAAAUACCGGCACAUCUCUAUUUUUCCCUCAAUCGAUCUGCUGCCUAGCCCAUUUCACCGGGUGCUGGACUGUUCGAAUUCCUGCACUUGGAAAGAUUCAACACCAAAAGGGCAAAUGUACCUCUGCAGCGCUCCUACACCUCGCCUCACUACAUUCCUUCAGACAUCUGAAUAUUCAAGUUUUUUGCAUUUUACUCAUGAAGAGUUUUCGUCACAGCGAUGAUUGCUAAAUCCAAAGACUAUUGACUUCCCGACAUAAAGCGAGAGGAUGCUUCAGUUAUGACUCAGAAGCUUUAGUGUAUGGCCUGCAAAUCUAGUGAACCAGACCUAAGUGGUACACCUUGCAUGUAGGCAUCCUACCCGAAAGCCUCGAGAAUUUUAGAGAAACCACAGAACAGAAGCACAAAAAAGAACAUAAAGCCACCUUUUGAGAAUUCAGCAGCAGGCUUGAAUCAGGUGCUACGAUAUAAACAAGAAGAAGAAACAAGUACUUCAAUGUUGCAAGUACAAUUUUAAAAGAAUUUUAAGUAUUACGUUUUUUGUGAUUUCUAUUUUUAAUCUUGUUUAUUA